rnacentral:rRNA from 1 species
GGAUUUCUUCGGAUUGAAGUUUUUGUGACUGAGUGGCGGACGGGUGAGUAACGCGUGGGUAACCUGCCUCAUACAGGGGGAUAACAGUUAGAAAUGACUGCUAAUACCGCAUAAGCGCACAGUGCUGCAUGGCACAGUGUGAAAAACUCCGGUGGUAUGAGAUGGACCCGCGUCUGAUUAGCUAGUUGGUGGGGUAACGGCCUACCAAGGCGACGAUCAGUAGCCGGCCUGAGAGGGUGAACGGCCACAUUGGGACUGAGACACGGCCCAAACUCCUACGGGAGGCAGCAGUGGGGAAUAUUGCACAAUGGGGGAAACCCUGAUGCAGCGACGCCGCGUGAGCGAAGAAGUAUUUCGGUAUGUAAAGCUCUAUCAGCAGGGAAGAAAAUGACGGUACCUGACUAAGAAGCACCGGCUAAAUACGUGCCAGCAGCCGCGGCAAUACGUAUGGUGCAAGCGUUAUCCGGAUUUACUGGGUGUAAAGGGAGCGUAGACGGUUGUGUAAGUCUGAUGUGAAAGCCCGGGGCUCAACCCCGGGACUGCAUUGGAAACUAUGUAACUAGAGUGUCGGAGAGGUAAGCGGAAUUCCUAGUGUAGCGGUGAAAUGCGUAGAUAUUAGGAGGAACACC